AUUGAACGCUGGCGGCAGGCUUAACACAUGCAAGUCGAACGGUAGCAGGGAGCUUGCUCCUCUAUCGAGUGGCGAACGGGUGAGUAAUAUAUCGGAACCUACCCAGUAGUGGGGGAUAACGUACCGAAAGGUACGCUAAUACCGCAUACGACCUGAGGAUGAAAGCGGGGGACCUUCGGACCUUGUGCUCUUAGAUCAGCCUAUAUCUGAUUAGCUAGUUGGUGAGGUAAAGGCUCACCAAGGCGACGAUCAGUAACUGGUCUGAGAGGACGACCAGCCACACUGGAAAUGAGACACGGUCCAGACUCCUACGGGAGGCAGCAGUGGGGAAUUUUGGACAAUGGGCGCAAGCCUGAUCCAGCAAUGCCGCGUGAGUGAAGAAGGCCUUCGGGUUGUAAAGCUCUUUUGUCAGGGAAGAAACGGGAUUGGCUAAUAUCCAGUCCUAAUGACGGUACCUGAAGAAUAAGCACCGGCUAACUACGUG
rnacentral:rRNA from 1 species